rnacentral:rRNA from 1 species
CGAAAGCUAUUUAGGUAGCGCCUCGUGAAUUCAUCUCCGGGGGUAGAGCACUGUUUCGGCAAGGGGGUCAUCCCGACUUACCAACCCGAUGCAAACUGCGAAUACCGGAGAAUGUUAUCACGGGAGACACACGGCGGGUGCUAACGUCCGUCGUGAAGAGGGAAACAACCCAGACCGCCAGCUAAGGUCCCAAAGUCAUGGUUAAGUGGGAAACGAUGUGGGAAGGCCCAGACAGCCAGGAUGUUGGCUUAGAAGCAGCCAUCAUUUAAAGAAAGCGUAAUAGCUCACUGGUCGAGUCGGCCUGCGCGGAAGAUGUAACGGGGCUAAACCAUGCACCGAAGCUGCGGCAGCGACGCUGAUGCGUUGUUGGGUAGGGGAGCGUUCUGUAAGCCUGUGAAGGUGUGCUGUGAGGCAUGCUGGAGGUAUCAGAAGUGCGAAUGCUGACAUAAGUAACGAUAAAGCGGGUGAAAAGCCCGCUCGCCGGAAGACCAAGGGUUCCUGUCCAACGUUAAUCGGGGCAGGGUGAGUCGACCCCUAAGGCGAGGCCGAAAGGCGUAGUCGAUGGGAAACAGGUUAAUAUUCCUGUACUUGGUGUUACUGCGAAGGGGGGACGGAGAAGGCUAUGUUGGCCGGGCGACGGUUGUCCCGGUUUAAGCGUGUAGGCUGGUUUUCCAGGCAAAUCCGGAAAAUCAAGGCUGAGGCGUGAUGACGAGGCACUACGGUGCUGAAGCAACAAAUGCCCUGCUUCCAGGAAAAGCCUCUAAGCAUCAGGUAACAUCAAAUCGUACCCCAAACCGACACAGGUGGUCAGGUAGAGAAUACCAAGGCGCUUGAGAGAACUCGGGUGAAGGAACUAGGCAAAAUGGUGCCGUAACUUCGGGAGAAGGCACGCUGAUAUGUAGGUGAAGUCCCUCGCGGAUGGAGCUGAAAUCAGUCGAAGAUACCAGCUGGCU